CAGUCGCCGGGGAAUACGUAGGGUGCAAGCGUUAAUCGGAAUUACUGGGCGUAAAGCGUGCGCAGGCGGUUAUAUAAGACAGAUGUGAAAUCCCCGGGCUCAACCUGGGAACUGCAUUUGUGACUGUAUAGCUAGAGUACGGCAGAGGGGGAUGGAAUUCCGCGUGUAGCAGUGAAAUGCGUAGAUAUGCGGAGGAACACCGAUGGCGAAGGCAAUCCCCUGGGCCUGUACUGACGCUCAUGCACGAAAGCGUGGGGAGCAAACAGGAUUAGAUACCCCAGUAGUCCCUGUCUCUUAUACA
rnacentral:rRNA from 1 species